ACGGGAGGCAGCAGUGGGGGAUAUUGCACAAUGGGGGAAACCCUGAUGCAGCGACGCCGCGUGAGUGAUGAAGUAUUUCGGUAUGUAAAGCUCUAUCAGCAGGGAAGAUAAUGACGGUACCUGACUAAGAAGCCCCGGCUAACUACGUGCCAGCAGCCGCGGUAAUACGUAGGGGGCAAGCGUUAUCCGGAUUUACUGGGUGUAAAGGGUGCGUAGGCGGCUCAUAAAGUCAGAUGUGAAAUACCGAGGCUCAACCUCGGAGCUGCAUUUGAAACUUAUGGGCUUGAGUGAAGUAGAGGUAAGCGGAAUUCCUAGUGUAGCGGUGAAAUGCGUAGAUAUUAGGAGGAACACCAGUGGCGAAGGCGGCUUACUGGGCUUUAACUGACGCUGAGGCACGAAAGCAUGGGUAGCAAACAGGAUUAGAUACCCUGGUA
rnacentral:rRNA from 1 species